UUCAACUGGGUUUUUAUUCCAUCCUGCCCACCCUGUUAACACUUGUUGAAAAGAAAAGGCAAGAAGAGGCGGUGACAAAACCCCAAAGCAUGAAGGAAGCGUUCUGAACUCAUUGUCACCUGCUUCCAGAGGCGCCAGGUUGCAGCUCAAAGAGGGCAACCCAUCCACAGAUGGGGCAGGCCUGCCAGGCAAUGGCAUCCUGCUUUGGAGGAAGUGGAAGGAAGCAGAAGUCCAGAAGGUGGGGUACUGCAGCCAAUGAGAGACUGGGGAGUUCAGAACACCAGGGGCAUUGAAAAGGAAGCCGCCAGCUGUUCUUCAUCCCGCCAAGAGACAGAAGAGGGCUGCGAUGUUCCCCACAGAAUAGAGGAUCAAAGAGCCUGAGCAUCUACUUUCCUUCAAACAAGGCCAAGUGAGCGUAGAUUUGCAAACCUAUGCUCACACCUUGCUAGACCUCUGCUUGCUUUGGCAGCUAGGAAUCUCAAAGAACACAUCCUGACUAGAUGAGUCUCUGGUAGAGAGUCAUUCCUCUUUACUGUUUCCAGGGACAGGCAAUACUGCUUUCGGUUUGAUGGGUAGGUGAUGAUAAUUGAUAAUGAUAAUACUUGAUAACCGAUAAUGAUGAUGAUAAUAAUGAAAAUAAUUGUUAUUGAUGAUAAUAAUCGAUGAUGAUGAUCAAUGAUGAUGAUGAAUUGUUAUGCUCAUACUAUAAUUAUGUUGAUUUGACCAACAAUAUCUAUGCCAUUGA